GGGGAAUAUUGGACAAUGGGCGAAAGCCUGAUCCAGCAAUGCCGCGUGAGUGAUGAAGGCCUUAGGGUUGUAAAGCUCUUUUACCCGGGAUGAUAAUGACAGUACCGGGAGAAUAAGCCCCGGCUAACUCCGUGCCAGCAGCCGCGGUAAUACGUAGGGGGCGAGCGUUGUCCGGAGUUACUGGGCGUAAAGGGCACGCAGGCGGUGCGGCGCGUUUCGCGUGACAGCGGAGGGCUUACCUCUCCGAGGAUGCGAAAGACGGCGGCACUUGAGGGCCAGAGAGGGACACGGAAUUCCGGGUGGAGUGGUGAAAUGCGUAGAGAUCCGGAGGAACACCGAAGGCGAAGGCAGUGUCCUGGCUGGUGACUGACGCUGAGGUGCGAAAGCUAGGGGAGCGAAC
rnacentral:rRNA from 1 species